UACGUAGGGUCCGAGCGUUGUCCGGAGUUACUGGGCGUAAAGGGCGCGCAGGCGGCGGUGCUGGCCCGGCGUGAAAGCCCCCGGCUCAACCGGGGAGGGUCGUCGGGGACCGCACCGCUUGAGGGCGGCAGGGGCUGGUGGAAUGCCUGGUGUAGUGGUGAAAUGCGUAGAGAUCAGGCGGAACACCCGUGGCGAAGGCGGCCAGCUGGGCCGGCCCUGACGCUGAGGCGCGAAGGCGUGGGGAGCGAACGGG
rnacentral:rRNA from 1 species